ACAUUUAUUUCAGUUUAUCCCCAGAGCUCCUCUGGAAAACAACUAAAUUUUUCGGCUCUAAAUUUAAAAGUGAAAAAAAAUAAAUAAAUAAAAUAAAAAUAUAUAUUUUCUCUCGAACAAAUUUUUUUCAAAAAAAAUUCAUUUUUCGGCAACAUUUCGGUUUAUCAAAAUUUGUGUAUUUCGGCAAAAUAAAAUCAAAAUUGAAAAGCGUGAAAUAUGUUGUAAAUUGUGACUCAACAAAAAAAGAAAAAACAUUGAGUUUGCUUGAUUGAUAUUUGUGUUUAAUUGUGCAAAAGGGGACGAAAAAAUUUUAUCACUGGACUUACCGAGGUUCUGCAAAUGUGUUAGUAUGCCAGGCUAGUCGUAUGGGGGACUCAUGUACCCUAGCGGACAACACAUGCCAAUAGCUGAGCGCUGUUGCCUCACAACUGAGAGAGGAGCAGAUUAUUUAAAUCAGAUUCGCCUAUAACAAUACACAUCUACCUGCCCUUGUUAGUAGUUCAACAUCAACAUUACUGUGUUUGGUUUGCCUGUUUGAAACACUAAAUAUAUAUAUCCUAAGCGAAGAUACUUGAAGGAGACUGUAUGCUGAAAGAAGUUUCAUUUUACCAUAAUAAAAACUCCAUAUAACCUUGACGGUACCACGUCCUCGAAUUGGGGUCGCGUAGUUUGCGUCGGUUGUAAAUGAACAUGCUGCAUAUUAAUGUAUUUACUACUUGAUACCAAAUAACUGCCUGAUACAUAUAAAUAAUAUAAAAAUCAACAUGGAUAAAUACUGUCAUCAUUAUCUAGAAAUAUUAUUAUUUAUAUGUAUAUAAAUCAAAUAAUCUGGAACUGCUUAAAGAAGGAAGCUGCCUGCUAAAUCUAUAAAAAUACUUGUACGCCCAUUACACUCGAACGUUGUCUGCCUGCAUUACGUUCCGAUCUGAGCGGUACCACGAUACUAUCACCACCUUAAGAGAAGUCAUAAUUGCCUUGCCUGACUUCAUCGUGCAGCUCGCGCUCAGUUCGACACAUUGGACAUUGAUGUACUAAGUGCUACUUAAAUAAAUACCUAUAGAAAAUGAGAAAAAAAAA